rnacentral:rRNA from 1 species
UACGGAGGGGACUAGCGUUGUUCGGAAUUACUGGGCGUAAAGCGCACGUAGGCGGAUUUGUUAGUCAGGGGUGAAAUCCCGAGGCUCAACCUCGGAACUGCCUUUGAUACUGCAAAUCUCGAGUCCGGAAGAGGUGAGUGGAAUUCCUAGUGUAGAGGUGAAAUUCGUAGAUAUCGGGAGGAACACCUGCGGUGUAGACGGCUUACUGGACCGUGACUGACGCUGAGGCACGAAAGCGUGGGUAGCAAACAGG